rnacentral:rRNA from 1 species
CCUACGGGUGGCAGCAGUGAGGAAUAUUGGUCAAUGGGCGGGAGACUGAACCAGCCAAGCCGCGUGAGGGAAGAAGGUACAGCGUAUCGUAAACCUCUUUUGUCAGGGAACAAAGGCUGGGACUAGUCCCCGGAUGAGGGUACCUGAAGAAAAAGCAUCGGCUAACUCCGUGCCAGCAGCCGCGGUAAUACGGAGGAUGCGAGCGUUAUCCGGAUUUAUUGGGUUUAAAGGGUGCGCAGGCGGCCUGUUAAGUCAGCGGUAAAAGCCCGGGGCUCAACCCCGGCGAGCCGUUGAAACUGGCAGGCUGGAGUUGGAGAGAAGUACGCGGAAUGCGUGGUGUAGCGGUGAAAUGCAUAGAUAUCGCGCAGAACCCCGAUUGCGAAGGCAGCAUGCCGGCUCCACACUGACGCUGAGGCACGAAAGCGUGGGUAUCGAACAGGAUUAGAUACCCGGGUAGUC